AAGUGUUUUCUGUAGAGGUGGCAAGAUGAUUGGGUCGAGUGGGUAUGGUAACGGGUCAAAGUUUCGGUUGAAACAGAUCAUUUGACCCGCAAAAGGCAAAUGAGAAAUCUGGAGGCUUUGUCAAUAGGAUUGUUGUUACAUGCCAAGGCGUUGGAUCUCGUUUAGAAAUGUUAACCGAGCUUGCGAGAAGAGAAAAGGAAGCAGGGAUUAUUCCAGAAGCUGAAGUUGGCCUUUUCAUGAAGGCGACCGCCAAUGAAGGAGAUGAAAGCAGUUUGAUUACUUACUACACUCCAAGACUGGAGCUCUAUUCGGGUCGAAAAAUAUAUCACUUGAAAAAUUAUCGACGAGCCAACCUCGAGCUCGAGCAACAUUCAUAAGUUAAGCUUGAGCUGACCUUCAUCUCAUCGUCAGGUGGUUGUAAUUUUGCGUUAUUAACGCGUCACCACCUCACACUCGAUUUUAUUUCAGCUUCAAAUGUUUCGUUUAUAGUCGACGACGAAAAAGAAGCUGGCAUUUUAAAGAAUCAUGGCCCUUUGACUUUUAUUAAGGUUCAUAACGCUGGACACAUGGUUCCUAUGGAUUAACCAAGGGCUGCAUUAAAGAUGUUGGAGUUGUGGACCACAGGGAAGCUACUUCAACCCAACAAGGGCUGAUAUUUCACUGUUUUAGAUGGCUUUUUGUUACUGAAGAUGACAUAAAAGGUCUACCAUGUUUCCAGGUGGCGGUGUUACGAGUUAGUGCGUUUCGGCGACGAACCGGGUCGAUACGAAGCAGUCCAACGAGCUGCUACCAUUGCUGAAAGUCAUAAAAAAGACACAUGAAGGCAUCAAAAGAGUUUAUUGCCGUUUGGAUCCAUCUGAUAAAACCAUGGUACGUUAUGCCUUUCAAGAACGAGAUCUUUUUUUUUUGGUAUGAAAUUUAGGUUAUCUGUCGGGAGAUUUGGUCGCAAGCAAGCGUUUUAGUCGGUAAGGAAAUACUUCCAUCGGUGAUCCCUUGGUCCCCUCAUGUCGGUGCUUCAUCGAUUAAUUUUUUUUGAAUUAUUGCUGUCAUAUCUUUUUAUUUAUUUAUUUAUAAUAGUUAGUUGACUGGAUUUUGUUUGCUGAUGUGCAGGUGUUAAUAUUCAGAUUGGUGAAGAAGUUGCUAUUAAGCUGGUAUUGCCUUCUUUUCUUUUUCAUGAUUUUGAAGCUUCUGAUUGUUUAUUUAAACCAUUACUUAUAAUUUUCUUGUUAAUGAAGCCGGAAUACCAAACCUUAAGCACUACUUUAUCUUAACGGGUCAAAUCGGUUCAGGUUGAAAUGGGUUGUUUCUAUGACAGACAUGCCGGGUUUGGUUGAUCCAUUGACAGUUUUCUCUUCUAUAAAGUAUUAAAAAACUCAUCAGUGUGUUGAUUUCGAUUACAUAAACAAUACUAUCACAAAAAUAAUAUUGGGGUUAUUGGGGUUGAGAACUGUGAAAAAUGUUCUAUAAAACUGACUUCCGCGCUGCAAAUUGUCGCUCCCGCAGCAACGCACGGGUUCCCCAUCACGUGAUAUAGUCUAUGGUUCAGCUUUUUAUGGUCUGCUGCUAAGACGCUUAUAGUGCUGGAUAUACUCUCAGCUUGCUGCAGGGGUAUUUUCGUCCUUUUGGGUUGGGAUAGAGUUCAUCUGGGUUUAAACUGUGGGUUCCGGGGUGGUGUUAUGUUAUGUAGUCUGUGAAGGUCUGACAAAGGCUGGCAAUCAACCGGGUAUGCUGUUUGGAUCUUCCGGGUUUGCUGUGGAAUCGUUAUUAGCUGCUGCUACUAUGGAACAUGGAACAAAAAGCCGGGGUUGAAAUGAUACAAGCUGGUUGUUGGUUGGAUUUAUUAUUUGUUGAAUUGGGCCGGAAUGUUAAAUGCAGAAGGCUCGGGUGUAUCUCUGGGCUUGCGGGGUUUUAUGAUAAGGGGCGUACAGCCUGGCCUAUUCUCAUAUAUUGGGCUAGCAAAAUAUACUAUGUAUUGGUGUUUUAAACUAAAUAUAGGUAUAGGGGUCGUUCUGUAAUUAGUAGUUAGUUAGUUUUAUGUUAUAAUUAGAUUAGUUAGUAAGUGCGAGGACCGGAAGCGACAAGUUGAAAGUUUGUAACCUACAAACUUAAUCAAGCGACAUCUCUAGGAGACGUACCUGUUCAGUUCGACGCCUAACAUCACAGAAACAAAGAGACGUGAUUUUUCACAAGGAGACACACCUCUUCAAGAUCAAUCUCAACCACAAGUUCAAGAGUCGCAACCGUUCGUGAAGAGACACGUCUCUAUCAUCGCAUCUAUUCGUAUAGUAUAUAUAGGGUUCAUGUAUGUCAAUUGUAAUCAUCACUUUUCAUUCAAUACAAGCAAGUUUAU